CACCCUUACCUUUAUUAACUCCAAAUGACUUCCCUAAUCCCUCAAGCCCAUCGAAACCCGUCGUCUCUCAAGCUCUCUGAAACCCUAGCCUCCUUCUACCCCUCUUCAACCACCACUCCACCGGAAUUCAUGACUUCUCAGGUUAUGGAUGACUGAUACUCACUCCCCUCCAUCAAUAAACCAUGGUUGUUCGAAGCUUCGAGACCUGACCUCCAUGGUUCUCCUUCAGAUCUUUCUCAGAUCUAUAGAUCUAUGGCUUCUACAGCCACUACUCCGGCAUAUUCAAGCACUAUGAGCCUUUUCGACUCAGGACCUGACUUUCCUCAAGACUUUUCUCAUUUUUAGUGGGUUCUUUGAAACCUUAAGCUGUCCGGGGUUCUUUACUUUCUUUUUUCUUAGAUAUGGAAAAUGUUUGUGUUUUAUUGAACUUUUUAAAGGUUUUCC
rnacentral:lncRNA from 1 species